rnacentral:rRNA from 1 species
AUUGAACGCUGGCGGCAUGCCUUACACAUGCAAGUCGAACGGUAACAGGUCUUUCGGGAUGCUGACGAGUGGCGCACGGGUGAGUAAUACAUCGGAACGUGCCUAGUAGUGGGGGAUAACUACUCGAAAGAGUGGCUAAUACCGCAUGAGAUCUAUGGAUGAAAGCAGGGGACCUUUGGGCCUUGUGCUACUAGAGCGGCCGAUGGCAGAUUAGGUAGUUGGUGGGAUAAAAGCUUACCAAGCCUACGAUCUGUAGCUGGUCUGAGAGGACGAUCAGCCACACUGGGACUGAGACACGGCCCAGACUCCUACGGGAGGCAGCAGUGGGGAAUUUUGGACAAUGGGCGCAAGCCUGAUCCAGCAAUGCCGCGUGCAGGAUGAAGGCCUUCGAGUUGUAAACUGCGUUUGUACGGAACGAAAAGUCUUGGGUUAAUACCCUGGGAUCAUGACGGUACCGUAAGAAUAAGCACCGGCUAACUACGUG